rnacentral:rRNA from 1 species
GAGAGGUAACGGCUCACCAAGGCAUCGACGGGUAGCUGGUCUGAGAGGAUGAUCAGCCACACUGGGACUGAGACACGGCCCAGACUCCUACGGGAGGCAGCAGUGGGGAAUCUUGCACAAUGGGCGAAAGCCUGAUGCAGCAACGCCGCGUGCGGGAAGAAGGCCCUAGGGUUGUAAACCGCUUUCAGCAGGGAAGAAAAUGACGGUACCUGCAGAAGAAGGUGCGGCCAACUACGUGCCAGCAGCCGCGGUGACACGUAGGCACCAAGCGUUAUCCGGAUUUAUUGGGCGUAAAGAGCUCGUAGGCGGUUCGGUAAGUCGGGUGUGAAAACUCUGGGCUCAACCCAGAGACGCCACCCGAUACUGCUGUGACUAGAGUGCGGUAGGGGAGCGGGGAAUUCCUGGUGUAGCGGUGAAAUGCGCAGAUAUCAGGAGGAACACCAGCGGCGAAGGCGCCGCUCUGGGCCGUAACUGACGCUGAGGAGCGAAAGCAUGGGUAGCAAACAGGAUUAGAUACCCUGGUAGUCCAUGCCGUAAACGUUGGGCACUAGGUGUGGGUCUCAACCAACGAGAUCCGCGCCGUCGCUAACGCAUUAAGUG